AACAAAGUGCAUUGAUGGAUGAAUCAAUCCAGUAGCUUACUCUUUGGAUAUUCCUCCUUCGCUGUGAAUUCCUAAUGAUUCACACAUCACUCCUCACACAUUUGAUAUGUAAGAGCCCCUGUACUUUGAUCAAGAAUGAUCAGGAACAAUACAAGGUUCAAACAAUAAUUCACUGUAGAGUGUCGAGGGGUAGACUCAAAUAUUU